UGCCAGAGCCCCCUCUCCUCCCAGUUCCUGGAUGCAGAGUUACAUCUGUAUCCAUAGUCUUUCACUGAUGGAGUCUUUCCUGGCCCCCUUGUCCGGAGCAGAAGUGGUCAACUCAGUGAAUGCUUCCCUUCAUAUUACCACUGCUCCAGUUGGAUCAUCCCUUGUUUCCAUGAUUUUCUCAAUUGUAGGAUGACAACUCAAGGUAGAAUCUAGUCUCCUUGAGAAGCAGCUGGGUCCAGUAAGUGUCCCAACUGCCUAGCCUGAAAUAGUCAGAUAUGCUCCAUUCCUCUGCAGACAUACUACCCCAGUGUUCCCUGACCACAACCAAAGCAGUUUCUUAGAUCUAGUUCAGCAGAACACUCUAUUCAGAGUCCUGUGCCAUUCUUCCCUCCUCUUCUUUCCUUCCA
rnacentral:lncRNA from 1 species